CGGGAUGUGGCCCAGCUUGGUAGGGCGCCGCGUUCGGGACGCGGAGGUCGCGAGUUCAAAUCUCGCCAUCCCGACCA
rnacentral:tRNA from 1 species